UGCCGAUGCUCCCUCUUGGUUAUUGUGACCAUCUGGUUCGUGUGGCGUGUGGGAACUACCGUCCCGUUGGGAAGCCUGUUGAGGUCAGCAAACAUGAGAACCGCCGGGACGGAGUGCCUCAGCAAGAGGUCCAGCACCUGGUUCCCGGGGACCGAUGCGGUGGACAGCAGCCUGUCGCUGGGCAUCAGGAAGGUGGUGUUGCGCGGUAUCUGCUCCUGCACCAUCCUGAUGAGCAUGACGAAGGUGAAGUAGCGUGCUUGCUGCAUCUCCUGCGUAGUGGAGGCAAUGUCGCCGUCGACGGCUGACGGGGAAGGCGCUCCUGCGAUGGUGGUGACUGACACUACGAGAGCGACGAGCAGGCUGGCAGCAAAGUAAGAAGCCAUGGUUUUAGACGGGACGGGAAUACUGCUGAUGCCCUUUCUGGCCUUGCACACUUAGUUCCUGUUUGAACUACUGCAGCGCUGCAGGCUUUGCGCAUGUUUGAACUACCGGUACUUGGUGGUACGAUCAGUCUUUAGCCAACAGCGUUAACAAUCAGGACUCAGGAGUAGCAUUUCUGUCCGGUUGAGCAGCUUGAAAAAUUAUGAAUGUUGGGUUGUGAUGUAGUCAUAUUUGCUACUGGUGGUGACGUAAUUCAGCAAAAAUGCGUGGAA